rnacentral:rRNA from 1 species
ACGUAGGGGGCGAGCGUUGUCCGGAAUUACUGGGCGUAAAGAGCACGUAGGCGGGUAUUUAAGUCAGGUGUGAAAGACCGGGGCUCAACCCCGGGAAUGCACUUGAAACUGUGUGACUUGAGGGCAGGAGAGGAAAGCGGAAUUCCUGGUGUAGCGGUGAAAUGCGUAGAAAUCAGGAGGAACACCAGUGGCGAAGGCGGCUUACUGGGCUGUAACUGACGCUGAGGCGCGAAAGCGUGGGUAGCAAACGG